rnacentral:rRNA from 1 species
GGGAGGCAGCAGUAGGGAAUUUUGGUCAAUGGGCGAAAGCCUGAACCAGCGACGCCGCGUGAAGGAUGAAGGCCCUCGGGUCGUAAACUUCUGUCAGGAGGGAAGAACGGCGCUUCAGUUAAUACAUGGGGCGUGUGACGGUACCUGCCCAACGACCCAUGCUCCCGUCCGCCA